UGCACGUUAAAGUUGUUUUAAAGUAAAAAUAUGUAAGCGUGAGAAAAGAUUAGCUAGCCUCAUUCAAGCGCAGCGCAGGGGACGCCACAUGCAACGGUGCCUCUUCGCGCGUUUUUUGUUACCGAUUUUGAAGCCAUGUUGUGCCAUGUUGAAACUUUUGGGCCACUUUCGGCAGCGGUGGCAGCUGUUUGUUCGUGCUGUGACUUUUCGAGUGGAGAAUUUAGGAUCGUGUUCGCAAGAACGGCAGCAACACCGCUUCAUUUCGGUUCGAUGCAGCUAGGAACGACCCGAAGUGGGCUAGCUAAUAUGCUGUCACACUGUAUCAAAACAGUGGCAGAGUGGUUGACAAAACUGCUGCUUCAGUGUCAUCCGUGACUCAAAGAAUACUAAAAACCACUAAGCCCGCCAAUCCCUGUGUAAGCAGCUGCAUCUUUCCCUGAGGUAACGCAAAGAACGAAGCUCCGUACCCGUGAUCUCUCAUCGACCAACUUUCUGCAUGGGAGUCUCGGUUGUCAGUAGAAGAUUACAACAAAGUAUUCCAGGGUGUCUUGGAUGGAUUCGUGGUCGUACCUGCAAAAGUGCCAGCGCUGACCUUUGGUAACAAGGGUGCAUCACUACACAUAUGCGGCAACUCAUACGAAAAAAAGAAGUAGAAAAGGAGACAAAAGAUUGAGCGGACUGUGCAUCAUUGGAAUUGUGCCAAAAGAUGCUGCGGGAUUUGCUGUAAUUGUGGUAGCAGUUGGAAACGUUGCCAGUCGUUAAACGAACUUGUGCACCAAUGAGCUGUUGAUAAUGUUGUGAAGCACUUUACGUCUGUGGGGUGCAUCGUUAAAGCAGUGUAGGAAAAAGUCACCAUAUCUGACUCUGGGCAGCCGUAAGACACGCUGUGAAAAUAGGAGUGUAAAAUCUGUCAUUAUCCAGAUGAAUUCAAAGAUGAAGAACUCGAGCGAACAAAAGUUUGUAGUUGAGCUCUUAUGCUCUUUUGUCUUUGUUUAUGAGCUGCUAGCUGAAGCUGAGCAUGGGAAUCACUAUUAGCUCUAGCUAUGCAGUGUCACUAGAACCAUUUGCUCUGAACAUGAUAAUGAUGUGAUGUGGCUAAACCCGUUGCAAUGGGCAAACAUGUAAAUUGCAUGCCCUAGUCAUGAAGAAACAAUGUAAUACAUAAAAACAAUACCAAUCAUAAAUAAAUACAGGUAAGCAAGCAUAAACAACACACAAGUAAGGGGAGAGAGAAAUGUGAGAGCUGCAGUGGUGUGCGCAACUAUCAACACUUGAGCAUUGCUAUUCUCCAACACUCAAUGUACGUUGUGCCUCCUUGUGCUGAAAUUGGCAAACUGCUACAGCACAGUCGUAUGAUACAACCUUUUAUAGGAAUUUAGUAAAACUGUGCAGAUAUUGCGUAGUAUAUUUAGACUUGGAAAUAAGACCAAUUCUAGAAAUAAAAGUUGAAUAUCGAGUUGAAAUCAGAAAAUUUAACACAAAUUUUUAUGCUAGAAUAUUUUGCGCAAAAUAAAACAGCUGUUUGACAUGCUCAGGUGUAUACUGUCGUUGCUAAUAAGAAUGCUACUAGCUAUCAGUAACUUGUGUACUUGGGAAUUGAGAUGUGCAGUAUGGUCUACUGUGAUUAAAAAUAUGCCAAAUUAUUAUGCCUGUACAUUACGCUAAUUGCAGCUCAGUUCUCGUACAAAAUAUUUUCUAUCAGUGGAUGUUGAUUCCGUCCUCUGAAGCUGAAGAAGCAGUGAAGUUGUGUUGUCUUGAAUAGCAGUAAGGGUUUCAGUUUUAUAACAGGCCAUACAAUGCCAGCGGUAGAUCAUACAGCCGUGGGGGUGGGAGUCGCUUAUCAAAAUACAGUAAAAGCUGGUUAAUAUGUACCCAGUUAAGACGCAGUUGUAACGAAUGUCGAAGUCAGUCUCCGUAGAGCAUAAUAGGUUCCUUGCACCUGCAUCACUGUCAACAGCUCACGGCAGGGCAUAAGAAAUUAAGAGAUUGUGCUGCUUAUGUACAGUGGUGAAGGUACAGCUUGUCAUUCGAAAUUGAUGCCGGACUGCAGAUGUGAGCUGCAGGCCUUAUCUUUAUCUGCCUAAUGUGCGCUGUCUACUUAAGUUUAGGAGGUGGUGUAGAGGACAGUGAUGGGCCUCAAGCGACAUCUCUAGUUGACUUCUCAGAUUGGUGUUCUUGAAGGGAGCGGAAAUCAACUGUGUUUACACUAUGUGGAUGAUCUGACAGCAUAUUGCCAAGAGCAACGUGCACUAUAGUACAUAUUUAUCUGCUCCACUUGAUAGGAGACAGUGCAAGCAGCUUAAACAUAUCUAACACAUUUAGAUUUGCUGUUAUUCAAAUAUGUUCGUGCAACAUUUCAAGUUCUGUAUUUUUUGUUUACAAUACCAGCAGUACAGAAAAUUUGCAUACAAAAUUUUGCUCAAAGCUGGUGUCCAAUCCACCUAAAUUUCGUGGUCUAAAUCGCUUUCCGUGCAGUUCAAGUGUCCCACGGUGCCACAAAAUGCAGAUGUGUGGAGCUAUGACUGCACAAUGCUGACAGAAUUGGGAACCCUGAACCACCUCUCGGGCUUGUUGAAAAAACAUUUUGUGGAUAGCAUAUGCUGUUGUGAAUAUGUCAGCCAAAUUUUGCACUUGUGUGUGAAGACUGGAGCACAAGCACGCACUCCAGCCCUGUCGUACGUACUACAGUUGUAUGUACCUGCAUCUACUGUAUUACGCAGAUAAUAUAGCCAAUGCAAAGUGCUGCGAUGAGCUCACUGCAGCACACUGACAACACCCUUGUGCUCUGAUCGUUAUCUUUGGUUGGCAUGGCUCCAGAUGGGUGUGGUGAACCGGCCCAAGCGCCAACAUCUGACGGGAGCAGGUCAUCUUCUUCCCGAGUUGCACGCCUUAGAGGUGAGCGAGCCGGUCAUUGCUUAUGCAAUAAAACUUAAAGUACAACACUACAUUGAGUGCAGA